UCUUGAAAUGCAGAUUUUGAAGGACUGAUCACCCUGUCUUGGCAGAGUUUAUUAGUCAAACACCAGAAUGGGUAGAGGACACCAAGAAAACAAGCCAUUAGAUCAAUGAGCUGGGAACUGCAGUAAGUUGAGAAAUUUUCCUCUUGCCGUGUCUUCCACCCAACAGAGAUGAGCUUUUCAGAGAUGUGUGCUUCUUAGUCCCAAAGGUGCACGAUGUCUUGAUCUGAAUGGGGGAAAAGUCAGAAAAUUCUCUUCCAGAGCAGCUGGCCCUCGAUUGCCUGGUGAUAGAUUUUAAACCCACAGAGGUGCACAUUAUUUUCUUCCACUUGACCCAGGAACUGGUUCAGCUUUAAAGGGAACUGGGAGGCACUUGCCACAGGAAAACAGAUCUGCUGAGUGUCUGCCGCACUCCCAAACCCCUCCACUGUGCCUUCCACGCCCUAUGUUACAAAGGAAGUGCGUGUGAUCCCAGCGCUUAGAGGUUUUGGCAGGGAGAUUACCGUGAGUCCAUGGAGGAAGGCAGGCCCACCAUCUCCUGGUCCUGUAUGUGACCAGUUUUCAUUCUGCUUCGUGGUGUAUCUCGGGGGUGCCCAGUGGAGUCAGAGUUAUCUACCUCUGGAGCUGGGACCUAGUCUCCUAAGUUCUGCUUUGGCUUUCAGGACCUCUCUCUCCAACAAUAGUUAUUCUUGACAGUUUUCAUAAUAAAAUAAAUCGAAAAG
rnacentral:sRNA from 1 species